rnacentral:rRNA from 1 species
UACAGAGGGUGCAAGCGUUAAUCGGAAUUACUGGGCGUAAAGCGUGCGUAGGCGGUUAUCUAAGUCGGGUGUGAAAUCCCCGGGCUCAACCUGGGAAUUGCAUUCGAUACUGGAUAGCUAGAGUUCGGCAGAGGGAAGUGGAAUUUCAGGUGUAGCGGUGAAAUGCGUAGAUAUCUGAAGGAACAUCAGUGGCGAAAGCGACUUCCUGGACCAGAACUGACGCUCAGGCACGAAAAGCGUGGGGAGCAAACAGGG